rnacentral:rRNA from 1 species
GACGAACGCUGGCGGCGUGCUUAACACAUGCAAGUCGAACGGAAAGGCCCAGCUUGCUGGGUGCUCGAGUGGCGAACGGGUGAGUAACACGUGGGUGAUCUGCCUCUAACUUCGGGAUAAGCUUGGGAAACUGGGUCUAAUACCGGAUAGGACAAUCGUUUAGUGUCGGUUGUGGAAAGUUUUUUCGGUUAGGGAUGAGCCCGCGGCCUAUCAGCUUGUUGGUGGGGUAAUGGCCUACCAAGGCGUCGACGGGUAGCCGGCCUGAGCGGGUGGACGGCCACAUUGGGACUGAGAUACGGCCCAGACUCCUACGGGAGGCAGCAGUGGGGAAUAUUGCACAAUGGGCGCAAGCCUGAUGCAGCGACGCCGCGUGGGGGAUGACGGCCUUCGGGUUGUAAACCUCUUUCGACAGGGACGAAGCUUUGGUGACGGUACCUGUAUAAGAAGCACCGGCUAACUACGUG